AUUGUGCCAGCAGCCGCGGUAAUACAGAGGUCCCGAGCGUUGUUCGGAUUCACUGGGCGUAAAGGGUGCGUAGGUGGCAUGGUAAGUUUGAUGUGAAAGCUCAGGGCUUAACCCUGAAAUGGCAUUGAAUACUACCGUGCUGGAGGAUUGGAGGGGGGACUGGAAUUCUUGGUGUAGCAGUGAAAUGCGUAGAUAUCAAGAGGAACACCAGUGGCGAAGGCGAGUCCCUGGACAACACCUGACACUGAGGCACGAAAGCUAGGGGAGCAAACAGGAUUAGAUACCCUGGUAGUCCUAGCCCUAAACGGUGUGCGCUUGCUGUAAGAGGAAUCGACCCCUCUUGUGGCGAAGCUAACGCGAUAAGCGCACCGCCUGGGGAGUACGGUCGCAAGAUUAAAACUCAAAGAAAUUGACGGGGGCCUGCACAAGCGGUGGAGUAUGUGGCUUAAUUCGAUGCAACGCGAAGAACCUUACCUGGCCUUGACAUGCAUGUGGUAGAACCAUGAAAGUGGGACGACCCCGCAAGGGGAGCAUGCACAGGUGCUGCAUGGCUGUCGUCAGCUCGUGUCGUGAGAUGUUGGGUUAAGUCCCGCAACGAGCGCAACCCCUAUGUCCUGUUGCCACUCAAACGAGAGUUUGGAGCACUCUGGACAGACUGCCUCGCUUAAACGGGGAGGAAGGUGGGGAUGACGUCAAGUCAGUAUGGCCCUUACGGGCCAGGGCUGCACACGUACUACAAUGCCUUACACAAAGGGAAGCAAGACCGUCAGGUGGAGCAAAUCCCAGAAAAUAAGGCCCAGUUCAGAUUGUCGUCUGCAACUCGACGGCAUGAAGUUGGAAUCGCUAGUAAUGGCGCAUCAGCUA
rnacentral:rRNA from 1 species